rnacentral:rRNA from 1 species
AUUGAACGCUGGCGGAAUGCUUUACACAUGCAAGUCGAACGGUAGAGGGGGCAACCCCUCGAGAGUGGCGGACGGGUGAGUAAUAUAUCGGAACGUGCCCAGUCGUGGGGGAUAACGUAGCGAAAGUUACGCUAAUACCGCAUGCGAUCUAAGGAUGAAAGCGGGGGAUCGCAAGACCUCGCGCGAUUGGAGCGGCCGAUAUCAGAUUAGGUAGUUGGUGGGGUAAAGGCUCACCAAGCCAACGAUCUGUAGCUGGUCUGAGAGGACGACCAGCCACACUGGAACUGAGACACGGUCCAGACUCCUACGGGAGGCAGCAGUGGGGAAUUUUGGACAAUGGACGCAAGUCUGAUCCAGCCAUUCCGCGUGCAGGAUGAAGGCCCUCGGGUUGUAAACUGCUUUUGUACGGAACGAAAAGGUCUCUCUUAAUACGGGGGACUCAUGACGGUACCGUAAGAAUAAGCACCGGCUAACUACGUGCCAGCCGCCGCCGUAAGAC